AUUUCCUUCUACUUAACCCAUUAAUAUUUUUCUCUUCAAGGAAAAACAGGUGAUUGGCUAUCAUUAAACCAUAGACUGGUUUUUUUUCUUGGAAGUCAGCACACAAUUUAACGACCAAUCCUCUUAUGUUCCUUCCCUUUUCUCAUUAAUUUGAGUGCACAGGGAAGAAAUCCUCUCUAUAUAUAAGCAACUUGUGCUGGAAGCCUAGCACAUACCUUGUAUAGAAAAUGGCUCCUAAUAAAUUUACUUGGAAAAUUUUAUCUCUUGCAUGUUUCAAGACUCAGCACUCACUUCCAGAGCCAAAGAUUCAAGUUUCCAAUCUAAUUACUUUCCAGAGAUUAUCCCUGUCAGACUUGAGCAACCCUGGUUCACCAUUAUCUGUCAGUGAUUUUUCAAAUCCAUUCUUUAAUCUCCAUGUUUUCACACUCAAGGAGCUAGAAAUGGUAACCCAUCACUUCUCCAAGAGUAACUAUCUCGGUGAAGGUGGAUUUGGAACUGUUUACAAGGGGUUCAUGACUGAAAAGCUUAGGCCUGGCUUGAAGGCUCAGCCUGUGGCUGUCAAGGUUCUGGAUUUGAAUGGCUCUCAGGGACAUAGAGAGUGGCUGGCCGAAGUAAUCUUUCUUGGGCAAUUAAAGCAUCCCCAUCUUGUGAACUUGAUUGGUUACUGCUGCGAGGAUGAGCACAGGCUGCUUGUCUAUGAAUAUAUGGAGCGAGGCAACUUGGAGACCCUGCUAUUUAAAAGUACACAUAAUCCUCCUCUCAGAGUCUCUGCUGCUGCUACCUUAAUUAUAUAAGAAUGUGAAAAUGCAGAGAGAAAAUUUAUAAUAUUGAAUCUUGGAGUUCAUGUUCCUUUUAUUCCAAUUUGGUGGGAUAUUUAUGUUCUUGAUUUUAUUGAAUAAUGCAGGGUAUUCAGCAGCCUUGCCCUGGUUAACAAGACUCAAAAUUGCAGCUGGAGCAGCAAAAGGCCUUGCCUUCCUCCAUGGAGAAGAAAAACCAGUCAUAUAUAGAGAUUUUAAGGCUUCAAAUGUCCUAUUAGACUCGGACUAUAAUGCAAAGCUUUCAGAUUUUGGGCUAGCAACAGAUGGUCCACAAGGAGAUGACACACACAUUACGACUCGUGUUAUGGGCACUGAAGGCUAUGCAGCUCCUGAAUACAUAAUGACUGGUCAUUUGACGACUAUGAGUGAUGUAUUUAGUUUUGGAGUGGUGCUUUUAGAGCUGUUAACGGGCAGGCGAUCUGUGGACAAGAACCGUCCAUCUAGAGAGAAGAACCUAGUAAAAUGGGCAAGACCCUUAUUGAAGGAUCACAAUAAGCUUGACCAGAUAAUGGACCCAAGGCUUGAAGGGCAGUAUUCAACGGAGGGUGCUAGGAAGGCAGCAGCAUUGACUUACCAAUGCUUGAGCCACCACUGCAAGUCUAGACCCACAAUGAGCACUGUGGUCAUGACCUUGGAUUCUCUGCUGGAGCUAAAUGACAUGCCAAUUGGACCUUUUGUGUUUGCUGUUCCAACUGAAGGCAAGAAUAAGGAAUGCAGUGAACAAGAGAAGGAAAAAGAAAGUGAAAAUGAAUGCCUUGAGCUAAAAGAUGAGAACAAAUGUGAAGAAAAUGAGGCAGAAUUGAAAGAUAAGAGUCGCAACCGGCAUAAAAAAGGUCACAGGCACAGACGGCGAAUUAAGUCACUGAGGUCUAGAGCUGUCUAUUCUGAUACUGCUCUGUAUAAAACUUUAGGCACUGGCUUGUAUUCUCCUAGGCAGUAAUGCAAAUUUGCAGAAGUGGAGAUUGAUUAGCAUUUGCUUAUAGAGCAUAAUGUACAUUAAGUAGCUUUUUUUCUUGUGAAAAUUUGCCACAUUUUGCAAUUGAUCUGCAGAUGGUGUUGUAAUUGUUAUGUGUGAUUAAAGUUAUUAUAAUAAGUCAUUUUCCACUUUUUU
rnacentral:misc_RNA from 1 species